rnacentral:rRNA from 1 species
AGAGUGAACGCUGGCGGCAGGCCUAACACAUGCAAGUCGAGCGGCAGCGCAGCAGUAGCAAUACUGUGGGCGGCGAGCGGCGGACGGGUGAGGAAUACAUCGGAAUCUACCCAGUCGUGGGGGAUAACGUAGGGAAACUUACGCUAAUACCGCAUACGACCUGAGGGUGAAAGCAGGGGAUCGCAAGACCUUGCGCGAUUGGAUGAGCCGAUGUCCGAUUAGCUAGUUGGUGAGGUAAAGGCUCACCAAGGCGAACGAUCGGUAGCUGGUCUGAGAGGAUGAUCAGCCACACUGGAACUGAGACACGGUCCAGACUCUACGGGAGCAGCAG